rnacentral:rRNA from 1 species
UCCGUAGGGGGCAAGCGUUGUCCGGAUUUAUUGGGCGUAAAGAGCGUGUAGGCGGUCAGGUAGGUCCGUUGUGAAAACUCGAGGCUCAACCUCGAGACGCCGAUGGAAACCAUCUGACUAGAGUCCGGAAGAGGAGAGUGGAAUUCCUGGUGUAGCGGUGAAAUGCGCAGAUAUCAGGAAGAACACCCGUGGCUAAGGCGGCUCUCUAGUACGGUACUGACGCUGAGACGCGAAAGCGUGGGGAGCGAACAGG